CCUACGGGAGGCAGCAGUGGGGAAUAUUGCACAAUGGGGGAAACCCUGAUCCAGCGACGCCGCGUGAGCGAUGAAGUAUCUCGGUAUGUAAAGCUCUAUCAGCAGGGAAGAAAAUCACGGUACGUGUCUAAGAAGUCACGGCUAACUACGUGCCAGCAGCGGCGGUAACACGUAGGGGGCCAGCGUUAUCAGGAUUGACUGGGUGUAAAGGGGGCGUAGACGGCGGUGCAGGCCAGAUGUGAAAGUCCGGGGCUCAACCCUGAGACUGCAUUUGGAACUGUGCUGCUAGAGUGUCGGAGAGGCAGGCGGAAUUCGUGGUGUAGCGGUGAAAUGCGUAGAUAUUAGGAGGAACACCGAUGGCGAAGGCAGCCUACUGGACGAUGACUGACGUUGAGGCUCGAAAGCGUGGGGAGCAAACAGGAGUAGAUACCCGUGUAGUC
rnacentral:rRNA from 1 species